rnacentral:lncRNA from 1 species
AGGAGACAUAGGCAGAGGGAGAAGCAGGCUCCAUGCACCAGGAGCCCGAUGUGGGAUUCGAUCCCAGGUCUCCAGGAUCGUGCCCUGGGCCAAAGGCAGGUGCCAAACCGCUGCGCCACCCAGGGAUCCCGGGGAUCUGUUUUCUAUAUUGCAGUUUGGCAUAGGAUUUUGUUCAAAGAAAAGGUUCUGCUGCUAACAGCUGUUUGAAACCUAUUGUAUCAUGCUAUAAUGCCUCAUGAGUCUAAUGUCAAGAAGGCUCCUCUUCUACAUUAUCCAAAGUUUUGCCAGGUUAUCUUCCUAUCAUCUAGUCUAGGCCUGUUCAUUGCCUCAGGCUCUUCUUCUGGAUAGAAAAAAUAGGGAGAUUAGCUAUCAGGACCUCUGUCAGAAAACCAUCAGGACCCAACUCCAAGCACUAUAGGAUUCUCUCCCGCCCUCUGCAUAGGUCAUGGAUAUAGUAAAUGCCCUUUCCCACACAACACUUUACACAGCACAGAAACAACUGCAGCUCUUAAUUUCUCUCCAUAAUGUGAACAGUAUACCAUUGAAGGCUGCAGUCCACCUGGCAUCCUCUACUGCCUGUUCCACCAAGUUAAUACCAAGGACCUGGGAGAUAUACUGAACCAGAGAGAGACCAAUCACACCUAAGGAAAUAAGAGGAUUUUAAGCCAGUGAUGUUAUGCCUGCACAACUACUAUUACUUCCCCAUCUGGGCCCUGGGUGUGGGGGGAAUGGAAGGUAAGCAGCAUGUAGAUUCUGCCCUGGGCUGCCACUCGCUAGUUCCACAGCAGAUAUCGAGGAGGAUGGUGUUAGAGUUCACUCAGCUCCCUCACUGUCCGAUACAGCACCUCUGCACCAGCAUUAUUAAUCUGGAAAAAGGCUUCUGGAGAGAUACAGAUCUUCAAGCCCAAGAGAUCUUCAAAGAGAUGGGGUUCCCCAAAUAGGAGCUGAUAGGGGGACUGCUGAUGGCUGCAAUGCAUCAUGGUGCUGGAAAACAACUUUUAAAAAAGCAUUUUAGAAUAGUAGACCAUUCUAUCUCUAGUGUUUUGGAGGGGCGGGCAGCAUCUCAGCCAAGAGACACAGCCUCCAUGGCAUGGCCCUGAGAGGUCUGUAGGAAUUACCUCUCAGGGGAUGGAGAUAUAUGCACACACUCCCUCAUCUAAAUUUGGCCUGGGUUCCCAGACCUGGCUGCUGUACAAGGACUGCUACCACUUACCCCAGUUCUCCACAGUCAGCAGCCCUGCCUCAGCAAGCAACAACUCAGAAUAUAGCAAGCCAUUGGCUUCUUGCUCUGUUUGGCUACCCCAGGUUUACCUUUCCUGAAAGUAAAGGGAUGUCAAAUCACAGACUGCUCCUGGCCCAGUGGUGAAAAACUUUAGAGUCUCUCUGAAUACUGAGCUCCUCCUGCCCAGAUCACAAAAUCAGUAGCCAAGCAAAGACUCAUCUCUGACAAAUUUUCUCUCCAAGCUCUAUAAAACUCAGCCCUGCAGUAGUCAGACAAGAAAGCACAUUUCUCAAAUCCUAUUAUAAAUGACACUUAACAUAAAGCAAUGUUCUAUGUGACAAAAAAUACACCAUUUUCACAUCUCAGAAGCACUGCUUUGCUUAUCAGCUUUUGACAAAUCCUAUACAAUAGACAUGCUACUUUCUCCAGUUUGAGCCUUCUUAAUAGUUUUCUAAAGAAAGUGUGAGAGUUAUCCAUAUUAUAAACAAGGAGCUAAACUAAGCUUUUGCCCUAUUAUGAAGACGCAAUAACCCUUUAUACUUCUCUGCUUCAAAUAUCCCAAUCACCCACCCAAACGCCUCGAAGAUGUGAGUCCUUAAAGAAAAGAAAGAGGGCAUAGAAGGGAAUCAUCACGGUAACUAAAUUCUUUCUUUGAAUUCAGAACAGUUUAAAAUUCUUACAUGACUGCAGAGAGCCUAAAUAUUAGCUUGACACAGGAUAUAUCACAAUAAACUAUGUUGGAGCUCUAGAGUUAAAAGGCCAAGAAUUGUAUUUUGGGGGUAAAUACCCAGUAGUGUGAUUACUGGAUCAUAGGGUAGUUCUAUUUUUAACUCUUUGAAGACCCUCCAUACUGUUUUCCACAGUAGCCAUACCAGUUUACAUUCCUACCAACCGUACAAAAGGGUUCCCUUUUCUCCAUAUCCUUGCCAACACUUGUUGUUUCUUGUACUUUUUAUUUUAGCCAUUCUGACACAUAUGAGGGGAUACCUCAUUGUGGUUUUCAUGUGCAUUUCCCUGAUGAUGAGGGAUAUUA